rnacentral:rRNA from 1 species
CACGUAGGGGGCGAGCGUUGUCCGGAAUCAUUGGGCGUAAAGAGCUCGUAGGCGGCUCAGUAAGUCGGGUGUGAAACCCCUAGGCUCAACCUAGGGACGCCACCCGAUACUGCUGUGGCUAGAGUCCAGUAGGGGAGUGUGGAAUUCCCGGUGUAGCGGUGAAAUGCGCAGAUAUCGGGAGGAACACCAGCGGCGAAGGCGGCACUCUGGGCUGGAACUGACGCUGAGGAGCGAAAGCGUGGGUAGCAAACAGG